rnacentral:rRNA from 1 species
UCCGUAGGUGGAUAAUUAAGUCAGAGGUGAAAUCCUGCAGCUCAACUGUAGAAUUGCCUUUGAUACUGGUUAUCUUGAGUUAUUAUGAAGUAGUUAGAAUAUGUAGUGUAGCGGUGAAAUGCAUAGAUAUUACAUAGAAUACCAAUUGUGAAGGCAGAUUACUAAUAAUCAACUGACACUGAUGGACGAAAGCGUGGGGAGCGAACAGGAUUAGAUACCCUGGUAGUCC